UAGAGGAUGUUUCGGGUGCGGCGCGGGUCUAAGUCCUUUGGAACAGGGCGUCAUAGAGGGUGAGAAUCCCGUAUGUGACCCGUGAUCAAGCCCAUGUGAAACCCCUUCGACGAGUCGAGUUGUUUGGGAAUGCAGCUCAAAAUGGGUGGUAAAUUUCAUCUAAAGCUAAAUACCGGCCAGAGACCGAUAGCGCACAAGUAGAGUGAUCGAAAGAUGAAAAGCACUUUGGAAAGAGAGUCAAAAAGUACGUGAAAUUGUUGAAAGGGAAGCGCUUGCAACCAGACCUGUCCGCAGGCGAUCAACUCCCGUUCUCGGGGGUGCACUCGUCUGUGAUCAGGCCAGCAUCGGUUCGGGCGGUCGGAUAAAGGCCUUGGGAAUGUAGCUCCUUCCGGGGAGUGUUAUAGCUCUCGGUGCAAUGCGGCCAGCCCGGACCGAGGACCGCGCCUUCGGGCUAGGAUGCUGGCGUAAUGGUUGUAAGCGACCCGUCUUGAAACACGGACCAAGGAGUCUAACAUCUAUGCAAGUGUUUGGGUGUCAAACCCACACGCGUAAUGAAAGUGAACGGAGGUGAGAACCCUUAAGGGCGCAUCAUCGACCGAUCCAGAUGUCUUCGGAUGGAUUUGAGUAUGAGCAUAGCUGUUGGGACCCGAAAGAUGGUGAACUAUGCCUGAAUAGGGUGAAGCCAGGGGAAACCCUGGUGGAGGCUCGCAGCGGUUCUGACGUGCAAAUCGAUCGUCAAAUUUGGGUAUAGGGGCGAAAGACUAAUCGAACCAUC
rnacentral:rRNA from 1 species